UUGGUGCAGUGGUUAAGCAUUCAGCUGUUACCUGAAAGGUUGGUGGUUCAAAUCCAUCA
rnacentral:tRNA from 1 species